rnacentral:rRNA from 1 species
AGUGAACGCUGGCGGUAGGCCUAACACAUGCAAGUCGAACGGCAGCACAGUAAGAGCUUGCUCUUACGGGUGGCGAGUGGCGGACGGGUGAGGAAUACAUCGGAAUCUACUUUUUCGUGGGGGAUAACGUAGGGAAACUUACGCUAAUACCACAUACGACCUACGGGUGAAAGCAGGGGAUCUUCGGACCUUGCGCGAUUGAAUGAGCCGAUGUCGGAUUAGCUAGUUGGCGGGGUAAAGGCCCACCAAGGCGACGAUCCGUAGCUGGUCUGAGAGGAUGAUCAGCCACACUGGAACUGAGACACGGUCCAGACUCCUACGGGAGGCAGCAGUGGGGAAUAUUGGACAAUGGGCGCAAGCCUGAUCCAGCCAUACCGCGUGGGUGAAGAAGGCCUUCGGGUUGUAAAGCCCUUUUGUUGGGAAAGAAAAGCAGCAGGUUAAUACCCCGCUGUUCCGACGGUACCCAAAGAAUAAGCACCGGCUAACUUCGUG